UACAGAGGGUGCAAGCGUUAAUCGGAAUUACUGGGCGUAAAGGGCGUGUAGGUGGCCAACUAAGUCAGACGUGAAAUCCCUCGGCUUAACCGGGGAACUGCGUCUGAUACUGGAUGGCUUGAGUGUGGGAGAGGGAUGCGGAAUUCCAGGUGUAGCGGUGAAAUGCGUAGAUAUCGGGAGGAACACCUGUGGCGAAAGCGGCGCACUGGACCACAACUGACGCUGAGGCGCGAAAAGCUAGGGGGAGCAAACAGG
rnacentral:rRNA from 1 species